GGAGUCCAGGGAGGAUAUUGUGGGGUUUUGAACGAGAUGCCCCCUAUAGUCUCAGGGUUUCAAAUGUUUGGUGUCCAGUUGGUAAUGCUGUUUGGGAAAUUUAGGAGGUCGAGAUAUGAGGUUUGAGAUGUGAGCAUUCAGCUGUUCCUGCCACCAUGUCUGAUUGCUACCAUGUUUACCCAGAGUGAUGGACUCUUAACCCUCUGAAACUGCAAAUGCAAAACAAACCUUUCCUUGUGUUUCAAUAAUACAAAGCCAGUUUCCAGUGUCUGGAGAUAGAGUUUCUCAGAAGCCAAGCAGAAACGUGGGAUCAAUCAAAUUCAUGAGGUUAAAUAAUGAAAACUGACGAAGCAGGCACCAGGAACUUUGGGGCAGUGACGUGGGAGAGAUGACUCCGUCUGUAAAGUACUUGCCAUACAAAAAUGAAGAGCUGUUUGUUCCCCUGUCUUAUGUAAAGGACACAGCAGAGGCCUGCAAUCCCAGCACUGCUGAAGCAAAGACAUGUGGACCCCCGGAGCUCAGCAUGUCCAAAUGGCUGAACUCCAAGUUCAAUGACAGACCAUGUCUCAAAAAGCGAGGUUAAGAGCAACUAAGAAAAGCGCCCGGUGUCAACCUCUAGCCCCUACAUGCUGUGCAUAAACAUACAUUCACAAACA